UUUAUGGAGAGUUUGAUCCUGGCUCAGGAUGAACGCUGGCGGCGUGCCUAAUACAUGCAAGUCGAGCGAACGGACGAGAAGCUUGCUUCUCUGAUGUUAGCGGCGGACGGGUGAGUAACACGUGGAUAACCUACCUAUAAGACUGGGAUAACUUCGGGAAACCGGAGCUAAUACCGGAUAAUAUUUUGAACCGCAUGGUUCAAAAGUGAAAGACGGUCUUGCUGUCACUUAUAGAUGGAUCCGCGCUGCAUUAGCUAGUUGGUAAGGUAACGGCUUACCAAGGCAACGAUGCAUAGCCGACCUGAGAGGGUGAUCGGCCACACUGGAACUGAGACACGGUCCAGACUCCUACGGGAGGCAGCAGUAGGGAAUCUUCCGCAAUGGGCGAAAGCCUGACGGAGCAACGCCGCGUGAGUGAUGAAGGUCUUCGGAUCGUAAAACUCUGUUAUUAGGGAAGAACAUAUGUGUAAGUAACUGUGCACAUCUUGACGGUACCUAAUCAGAAAGCCACGGCUAACUACGUGCCAGCAGCCGCGGUAAUACGUAGGUGGCAAGCGUUAUCCGGAAUUAUUGGGCGUAAAGCGCGCGUAGGCGG
rnacentral:rRNA from 1 species